AGAUUGAACGCUGGCGGCAGGCCUAACACAUGCAAGUCGAGCGGCAGCACGGGUACUUGUACCUGGUGGCGAGCGGCGGACGGGUGAGUAAUGCCUAGGAAUCUGCCUGAUAGUGGGGGAUAACGUUCGGAAACGGACGCUAAUACCGCAUACGUCCUACGGGAGAAAGUGGGGGAUCUUCGGAACCUCACGCUAUCAGAUGAGCCUAGGGUCGGUAUUAGGCUAAGGUUGGGUAAGGGUUAAACGCCUACCGAAGGCUACGGUAUCCGUAACUGGUCUGAGAGGAUGGAUCAGUCACGACUGGAACUGACGACACGGGUACCAGACCUCCGUAACGGGAGGCCAGGCCAGGGUGGGAAUUA
rnacentral:rRNA from 1 species